rnacentral:rRNA from 1 species
GACGAACGCUGGCGGCGUGCUUAACACAUGCAAGUCGAACGGAAAGGCCCUGCCUUUGUGGGGUGCUCGUGUGGCGAACGGGUGAGUAACAAGUGAGUUACCUGCCCUUGACUUUGGGAUAACUUUAGGAAACUGGGGCUAAUACCGGAUAGGUGCUCCUGCUGCAUGGUGGGGGUUGGAAAGUUUCGUUGGUUGGGGAUGGACUCGCGGCUUAUCAGCUUGUUGGUGAGGUAGUGGCUUACCAAGGCUUUGACGGGUAGCCGGCCUGAGAGGGUGACCGGCAACAUUGGGACUGAGGUACGGCCCAGACUCCUACGGGAGGCAACAGUGGGGAAUAUUACACAAUGGGCGGAAGCCUGAUGCGGCAACGCCGCGUGCGGAAUGACGGCCUUCGGGUUGUGAACCGCUUUCGCCUGUGACGAAGCGUGAGUGACGGUAAUGGAUAAAGAAGCACCGGCUAACUACGUG